rnacentral:rRNA from 1 species
CCUACGGGUGGCUGCAGUCGAGAAUAUUCCACAAUGGACGAAAGUCUGAUGGAGCGACGCCGCGUGCAGGAAGAAGGUAUUCGUAUUGUAAACUGCUUUUCUCAGGGAAGAACUACGGUGACUGUACCUGAGGAAUAAGAGGUUACUAACUCUGUGCCAGCAGUAGCGGUAAUACAGAGACCUCAAGCGUUAUCCGGAUUUAUUGGGCGUAAAGCGCAGGUAGGCGGACGUAUUAGUCGGAUGUCAAAUCUCUCGGCUCAACCGGGAACAGGCAUUCGAAACGGUACGUCUAGAGAUAGCGAGAGAUCGGUGGAAUUCACGGUGUAGUAGUGAAAUGCGUUGAUAUCGUGAGGAACACCCAAGGCGAAGGCAGCCGAUUGGCGCUGUUCUGACGCUGAGCUGCGAAAGCGUGGGGAGCGAAUGGGAUUAGAUACCCUUGUAGUC